rnacentral:rRNA from 1 species
UAUUGGGCAAUGGGCGCAAGCCUGACCCAGCAACGCCGCGUGAAGGAAGAAGGCUUUCGGGUUGUAAACUUCUUUUGUCAGGGACGAAGCAAAUGACGGUACCUGACUAAGAAGCUCCGGCUAAAUACGUGCCAGCAGCCGCGGUAAUACGUAUGGAGCAAGCGUUAUCCGGAUUUACUGGGUGUAAAGGGAGCGUAGGCGGUAAGGCAAGUCUGAUGUGAAAGGCCAGGGCUCAACCCUGGGACUGCAUUGGAAACUGUUUAACUGGAGUGUCGGAGAGGCAAGUGGAAUUCCUAGUGUAGCGGUGAAAUGCGUAGAUAUUAGGAGGAACACCAGUGGCGAAGGCGGCUUGCUGGACGAUGACUGACGCUGAGGCUCGAAAGCGUGGGGAGCAAACAGG